CUACAAGUUCAAAAAUAUUUGUAACAAAGGACACACAUACAGGUUAUCACCUGUUAAAACUAGGGUUGAGAAAUUCCCAGAAAUCAAAUUCUGAAUAAAUUCGCUCCUGCCCAUCUCUUGCUCGGCGAAAUCAUGCUAUACUAUUGAAACUCUUUGAUUGCAUUGGAGAAUCAGUUUCAAUGGUUCUCUCAUUAGAGGACUUCCUUCUUCGUGGCCGAGUACUGAAGCUGUACAGACAAGCUUUGAGAAUCUCAAAUAGAGCGCCUUCUCAUGCUAGAGCUGAUUUGAGGCAGAUUAUAAGACAAGAGAUGGAGAAUAACAAGAGUUGUAAUGACAAGCAGAGAAUUCGGUUCUUGAUUAGUGAAGGUUUGGAAAGAGUCAAACGUUUGGAUGAGACGCUUGAUAUGCAAGGCCAUUGAUUUGACUCAGAUUGUCCAAUUAUCUUUAAUUUUGUGUUCCUCUUGUAAGUUGUAGACAUAUGAUUUUGAAUGCUAUUUUUUUCUAUAGGAGAACCAAAACUGAAAUUAAUUUUCAUUCAUAAGGGUGUACUGCUCCGACAGCUAGUAGAACUAGAAGACAAUUCUAAUUUUUAUGGAGGAAUGAGGUUAUUCAAAAAAAAAAAAUUCCCAGAAAUCAGAUCCAGAAGAAGCCAGUAGCUACAUCAGAAAAAUAUAUUACUCUCACAUUUUCUCCGUUUCUGUGUAGUUCCACGUUUUAGCAUAGUAAGCAAAUGAGAGAGUGGGAAGGGAGAUGGCAACGGGGUUGAAGGCACUGCCUUUCUCAUUUGGGGCUCACUUUCUGGCCUUAGUUGCAGCUAUUAUGGUGUUGGUUUGGUCUAUUCACUUUAGGGGUGGCUUAGCUUGGGAAGCUGAUAACAAAAAUCUCAUUUUUAAUUGGAUUUAUGGCUUUGUGGUGUUCUUCUACCCUGGGGGAAGUGAUGCAGUUAGACGUGAGUCACUUCCGCGGCAUGUGCUUUUCGGGAUGUUUGUGUAUGUUAUGGCUGUUGGCAAUGCCUGUCUAGGAUUCCUUGAGGUUAACGGUUUGGCUAAAUAUGGUUCUGAGGCUUUCCUAGUCAACUUUACUGCCAUUGCUACAGUUUUUUAUGGGGUCUUUGUGUUUCUGACCAUUCUUUCUCAGGCUCCUAAUGAGGAUGGUUUUAGUUACUCUGCCAUCACAUUAUUUCCACUCAACUAUUGUUGCAUAUUGUGUUCUAUUGCACGUUGACUAGCAGAUACUCUUAUUGGUGCCUCUACCUUUCUACUUUGCGCUUCUUGUUUUGAUAUCUUUGAUUAUCUACCUGUAUAGUGGAGUAUGAUCCGAUUUCCUUGCUCUACUGUAAUCAUGCAGCUCCAUCUUGACGAUGGCACAAUCUUGAUGUGUAUGUUAUUAUAUGGGAGCUAAGAUUUGUAUUUAAAGGAUUGUCGUUGGAGGGCUUGAAUACUUUGAAUACUUGUUCUUUUAACUUCUUUUUGCUCAA